rnacentral:RNase_MRP_RNA from 15 species
UUUCGUGUUGAAGGCCCUGUUUCCUAGGCUACAGACGGAGGACUUGUUCCUGGAACCGCCUAGGGGAAAGUCCCCGGACCUCGGGCAGAGAGUGCCACGCGCGAACGUGCGCGGGCCGACCCGCCGCUCACGGUCCUCCGCCAAGAGGCGAGCCUGCGGGCGAGCUGAGCGGCGUGGCGGCGGGCGGCCCUCCGUCAGCGGAGCGAGUGACGCAGGCAGCGCGCUGCACGCGCGCCAACCACACGGGGCUCAUUCUCAGCACGGC